rnacentral:lncRNA from 1 species
UCAAUUUCAAUCAAGGUUAAGAUUUUUAUUCAAUCACAAUAUACCAAAGAGCCAAACGACAAACGACAACAUUGGGCUUAAUACAUUGUUAUCAUUCUGCUAUUUUUUUAUACCCAUCCCUUUCAAAACAAAAAUAGUGCAAAGAAGAACCAAAAUAGAGAAGAGAAGGAGAAAGAGAGAAUGUGAUACCUAAAAUGGCAGUCCUGAAACGAAGGAGCUUGAGGCAACACACACUUAUGAAAACAACAAUUGAAACGAAGGAGCAAAGACGCCACACGCACUAAUGAAAGUCACACGCACUGAUGAAUGCCACACGCAGAUCGAAAGGGCAGAGAAUGUAAGCAGAAACGAAGAACCAGAAAUAAAAAAGAGAGGAGAAGGAGAAGAGGGAAUGUGAUACCUAAAAUGGUAGUCGUACAACUUGAGGCACCUUGUACUGAUGAAAAACGAAGGAAACACGCACUAUGAAAGCAAUGCAGAUGAAAACAUCUUAGCAGAGAGAAACACCAAUAUCGUAUAAGCAGAAACGAAUCAGGUCGAAGGAAAAGCGCGAAUUAAAUUUUUUUUAAUAAUAAACGCAAAUAUCGUCUAAGAAGAACUAAUAAAGUGGAAGGAAAAGCGCGAAUUGAAACUUUUUUUAAUAAUCAUAGAUUGCGCUUAUAAUAUAAAAUGCGUUAUGUGUCGUGUUACCAUAGAUAGCGCUUUUCCAACAACGCGUUAUCUAUUGUUAUAUUUUAAAUUAAAAA